CCUACGGGAGGCAGCAGUGAGGAAUAUUGGUCAAUGGGCGCGAGACUGAACCAGCCAAGUAGCGUGAAGGAGGACUGCACUACGGGUUGUAAACUUCUUUUGUAAAGGAAUAAAGUGAGGCACGUGUGCCUUGUUGUAUGUACUUUAUGAAUAAGGAUCGGCUAACUCCGUGCCAGCAGCCGCGGUAAUACGGAGGAUCCGAGCGUUAUCCGGAUUUAUUGGGUUUAAAGGGAGCGUAGAUGGGUUGUUAAGUCAGUUGUGAAAGUUUGCGGCUCAACCGUAAAAUUGCAAUUGAUACUGGCAGUCUUGAGUACAGUUGAGGUAGGCGGAAUGCGUGGUGUAGCGGUGAAAUGCUUAGAUAUCACGAAGAACUCCGAUUGCGAAGGCAGCUUACUAAGCCAUAACUGACACUGAAGCACGAAAGCGUGGGGAUCAAACAGGAUUAGAUACCCGGGUAGUC
rnacentral:rRNA from 1 species